CACUGGACAACUCCCAGGGAGAGCCAUCGACCUGGGCAGCCACACUUGGCCGCAACCCUGCAGCCUCCUUCUUGGCCUUAGUGGCCUCAGCAGUAAAAUGGGACAGGAGACCCCACCCUAAGAAGGCCAGAGGAGGCGACUGCGGCAAGAGCCUGUCCAUGACCCGGGCCCGGCAUGACCAUGGCCUGAGUCCGGCGCAGCUGCACGCCCAGCCCAGCCCCCCGCCGUGGAGUCGCCUGUCCUGACAUUUCAUGGAAAUGGCAUCACACAACACGCGUGGCCAAGCGGCUGCUGCUUUCACCGAGCACAGUGUCUUCUGGGCUUGUCCACCAUGACAGCCUGUGGCAGAGCGUCAUUCCUUCCCAUUCAUUCAUUCAUGGCGAGGGGCAGCUCAGGACUGCUGGCCUUGGCCUGUCCCCAGAACAGCCUGGUCGGCCGAGGUGACGCGCUCUGCCCCAAUGCAGAGACGGGGUCUCGCUCUUGCUCAGGCUGGUCUCAAAC